UUAUUUUGGGCUGAAAAACUUUUUGCUUAAUGGGCCUAAAGAUGAGAGUCCAGUCCUAAAGCUAUUCUUGCAUCUCGAUCUCCGAUCCAUUCGCUCCCUCUCUGUCACCAUCUCCGCUCAAAAUGUGAGGCUUGCGUGUGUGAGAUCUCUCGCUAGACUUGGUCUUAUUUUUCGUGCUACAGACAAAGCCGAAGCCGAAUCACUAGCUUAAUUCUUUGUAAAUGAAAGCAGAAGAAGAAGAAUCAAAGCAUCAUCAUCAUCUUCCAUCACCGUCUCGUCUCUUGUAUUGCAUGCUUGGUGAAGAAGAGAAAUAGGGCAGAUCCAACAACCCCAAGCGUUGAACAAGUGGGAGCGCCGAAAGAUUUAGGGCAAAACUAUGAAAUUCAAAGAUGAAAUCCAAGUGAAGGACGAAGAAAUCGAAGAUGAGAAUGGUUAGGAGAAAGUUAAGACCAAAACCGAACCUGAGAGAACACAGGCUCGGGAUUCUCAAAGACUAGAGACAAGCUGAGUUUGUGGUUGCAAGCUAAGUUUGUGUGUUGGACUGUGCAAGCUUCAGGGAAAACUAUGCUUUUGACGACCAACUUUAUAAUCAACAAGGAGGGGCCGUACAAACUUGAUUACGAUCAAAGUAUCAUAUAUUCCAACUUGGCUUUGGGCUGAGGCUUCAACAUUUCAGCCUUAGGUGUAAAACAAAGACACAGAUUUCCCUUGCUUACUCUGUUUUCUGUUUAUGUAUGGGCAUUGCUUUACUACAUUUUUUACAGAAUUGCUUUAUCAAGAAGCAAUGGUGAAUA